UAGAUCCUCACUACUGCUCAGCACACUGAGAGGAAACAGUCAAUAGCUGUGUCUCUGGCGCCAGCUUUAUUCUCUGCGCUGGAGAUGAAGUAUAUUUCAUGUGUUUACUUAAGCUGGGGUCUUCUGGCUUCAGCUGUGAUCCCCGUUUCUGUAGGUGAAAUGUAUACGUCGCUGCUGAACGUAAAGCAGGCGAUCAGUGUUGAACGCAAGCUGAUCAAUUACCUGAAAACUUACAUUGACCACGAGUUGGAUAGACUGGAGGACAUCAAACGUUUUUAUGCUAAAGUGUCUGACCUGCACGCUCAAGUUUUAAAAGGUCCUGCGACUGCAAUGACAAACCCACUGGUGGCUUUCACCCUGAUCAAGCGGCUGCAGUCAGAGUGGCUGAAUGUAGUUUACAGCAACGAAGCCAUGGAGAACACACAAGCCCUCAGGUCCAGUUACGAGGAGGAAGAGGCCGAUCUGCCCAAACUGGAAGACCUCCAGGGGGCCGCUAAGGGGCUGAUGAGGCUGCAGGAUGUGUAUGCUCUUCAAGUUCCGAGUCUUACGAUGGGUCGUUUCCAGAGAGUCACUAAUGGAAAACCUAUUGAUGUCUGCAUGCCUGCAGUGUCUGUCCCCCUAUCUGGUGAUGACUGCUUUUGGGUUGGAAAGGUGGCCUACGAGCAGGAAGACUAUUACCACUCAGUGCAAUGGCUGGAAGAGUCAGUGCGUCUCUUCAGGGGAACAGGAGGAGACUGGAGCCCUGAGAAUGAGGGGACUUUAGAGGACGCUCUGGAUCACCUGGCUUUCUCUCACUUUAAAACUGGAAACGUCUCCUAUGCUCUGAGUCUGUCUCAGGAGUUACUCCAUCAUGAUCCAAUGAAUGGAAGAGUUUUGGAGAAUGUUGAGAAAUACGAGAAGCUGCUGGUUGCAAUUCCGCCCAAAUCAAUCAGGGGUGAUGGGCUGAGGAGACCCGCUUCCAAUUAUUUAAGGACCAGAGACACUUAUGAGAGACUCUGCCAGACUCAAGGCUCCCAGCCAAUGCAUUUUAAAAACCCCAGACUAUUCUGCGACUAUUUUACCCAUGGCAGUCCUGGGCUGCUACUGCAGCCAGUAAGACGGGAAGUGCUGAGCCUGCAGCCUUAUGUGGUCCUGUACCACAACUUCAUCACUAACACAGAGGCUGAAGACAUCAAGAGAGUCGCACACCAAGGAUUGAGAAGAUCUGUUGUGGCAGCUGGAGAGAAACAAGCAACAGCAGACUUUCGCAUCAGCAAGAGUGCAUGGCUGAAGGCCUCAGCUCACUCCAUUGUUGGGAAGCUGGACCAGAGGAUCUCCAUGGUCACAGGUCUGGAUGUAAAGCAUCCAUAUGGCGAGUACCUCCAAGUGGUGAAUUAUGGGAUUGGUGGCCAUUAUGAACCUCACUUUGACCACGCUACUUCAUCUUCGAGUCCUGUGUUCAAGCUGAAAACUGGGAAUCGAGUGGCAACCUUCAUGAUUUAUCUCAGCUCUGUCGAGGCAGGUGGGUCCACAGCCUUCAUCUACGCCAACUUCAGUGUUCCUGUCGUGGAGGUAAAGGCUCUGCGGAUGUCUCAGAUGAACUAAAAGCAGCCUCUUUAUGUCUGCAUGUCAUCAUUGCCUGAAGCUAGAGCAUUUUCACCUCACUCUGCGCUUCACCCGCAUUCUCUGGUGCAGCUGUCAAAAUGCUAAAAGAGAGCUGCCAUCUUCUGGUGGAAUCUCCAUAGAAAUGGUGAAGGGGAUGUAGACACCCUGCAUGCUGGAUGCCCUGUGCUUAUUGGGGACAAAUGGGGUAAGUAAAUGGAGUCAAUUCAGCAUAUAAUGUGAAAAUGUUUCCAAAAAUAGCCAAAAUGUGAUGUUAAUAUAUAAAUAUAACAAAUCACAUGAAUUAGUGUCACAAGUUUUUGCCUCAUCAUCAUGGUCAGUCUCUGAUAGCAGUUAUCCAGUGUUCGGCAUUCUUAUUAUACAGGAGUCCAUCUACGAGAGCUAGGGCACAUCUGUGCUGCAUUAUGCAUUUAGAGAUGUCACAGAGUGCAUUUCAGACACUGAGUGCUCAUCUUGGAAGCUAAACAUCUGCUGCGUAUUGGCAGCUGAAAUGUGUGUCAGGGACCCAGUUAAACUAACAGAAGCAUAUUAAUCAUCACAAAUAAGCCACAGAAGCAUUUCCUCCCUUUAUUUGUUUCAUUAAACUGAUUCGGAAAUUAGAUAUUAAGGCUGUAGCAUAGAUAUAUGUUUCUCAAGCUGAUUAUUCAAAGGUGUAAAAGAAGCCUUAGCAAGAAUAAUUUUAUUUGUAUUGUUUUUACAAACAAUGGCAUUGCUGGCAAUGUUGGUCUGUCUGUCGAUUAGCCCAUGUCUUUGGUCCAGACUGAAAUAUCUCAGCUAUUGGAUGAAUUUCCAUGAAAUUUUUUACAGACAUUCAAUGUGUUCAGAGUGUAUAUCGUGCUGACGUGGGUGACCAUCUGAUAUUCCCUCUACUACUGCUAACAUGAAGUUGACACAGCUGUUUUUAGUGAAAUAUCUCAACCAUUAUUGCAUGGAUUGCCAUGACAUUUGGUACAGAUUUUUAUGGUGCCCCAACAAUGAGUCUUAAUGAUUUCCCUUGACUUUUCCUCUAGUACCAACAGCAAGUCAAAGAUUUCACUUAUUUAAUGAAAUAUUUAACUAUACUAUUUAACCAUAAUAUUUAUUGUUAUCAGACGAUGUUUUCUACUGACUGAUGAUCCUCACUAUGAAGUUGACAUUUAGAGUGAAACGUCUCAACAACUGUUGGACAGAUUGUUAUCAAAUGUGGCACAUUAUGCCUUGCUCAGAUUUAAUUGUAAUAACUUUUAUGACAUUCCCACUUUUCAUCUAGCGACAUCAUAAGGUCAGAAUCUAAAUUUGUUCAAUAAAGUUUUGACCAAUCGCCUGCAAAACUAAUGAUAUUCUCAUCAACUGUAACUUAACUAUGUGUUUUGAUCUAAUUAUCAAAUUAAAGCAUGUUAACAUGCUAAACUGAGAUGGUGAAAAUGGUAAACAGUAUUAAACCUUCAGUAACUUUUAUUAUUAGCAUUUAGCUGUUCCCAUGCACAGUGUCACAUAGCUGUUGGUAUGGCUGUAGACUCUAGCAUAUUUGAACAACUGUCUUUGUGUUACAGUGGCAAACAAAUGGAUCCAUGAGUACGGACAAGAGUUCAAACAUCGCUGCAGCCUGAAUCCUGAAGAGUGAGAGGGGUGGAGCAUUAGCUGGGCCCCUUGGAGUACAAGAGCCAGCCUUUACAAUUGCGAGGCACACUUGCAGGCGGAGAGUAGGAAGCAGCCAGAAAGUGAGCACACAGGCAGGGGAGGUGAGAGCUGUUGAGGGGCAGCCUGCAUCUGUGAUUGGAGCCCCAGGCCCCAGGGAGCCAGGAGCAUACAGCGGACACUGCUGCAGUGGACAUGGAUAGCACAAGGCUGAGCUGCAUUUUGGAAGGUGGGGUGGAGGAGGAGUGGGGCAGCUGGCAAUCAGCCCCAGGAGGCCAAACGCUCUCUUACUUUUACUGGCCAGUUCCUGUGGAUGGAGAGAGGCCUCUGCCUUUACACACUGUGCUGGUUUCAGUUAACUGUGCAGGGCUGUUUGCCUCUUGCCCACAGUUUGCUUACAAACUGGCAUCUUAUGCGGCACUUUUUCUACACAGGCCCUCUCUAGGUUCUGUCAAUACAAAUGUUCAACACAGCUGAACUUUGUUUGGACUCUCAGAACUUUAUUUAAAAUGUGUAGAUGGCAAAGUUUACAUAUAUCUAAUGUGCCUGGCUGAGCCACAGUGGAAUGUGUGUAAAAUGAUGCACAGAAUAAAAAUAAAUGCUGCUUUUGGAUUUGAAUAUUGACAUCAACAUAUGUGGGAUGUUUCAAUGUUUCAAUGAAGUGCUGAAACAACCAAAGAAUGUGAUACUCUACAGAGUAGAAAAUUAUUUCGUGACUUUAAGGGUAACAUUUGUGAUUAAAAACACAAUGUUUAAUGUACUUUUCACAUGCUUUUCUGUUUGGUUGGUAUGCUGCAGAUUAUCUAAAGAGAUUUUUGGUGAAAGUUCUUCUCUAAGCCAUCUUAGACCUCAGCAGUGCAGUUUAGACUGGUGCUAUGAGUCAAAAGGAACGAGUCAUUGUGAGCUUGGCUGUUUAUUCCCAGCUGACUGAGCAAUGUGGUCAUCACUGCCUGUGGGAGACUGUUACAAUUUGGUUCAUUGUAACCGACUGACUAAAUGGAACAGAUGAAGCAGAUCUGGCACUUGUUGAACUUCAGAGGCUGGUUUUCAUUAAUCAUGUUCUGCACGCCAAGUGAUAUAGCUCCCGUCUGCUUUGUCUACUUCAUGUCUGAACUCACAGAACAAACUAUGUCUGCAUACCAUUCCGAUAUCUCAGAUAUCUGUCUAAGUAGGCCAUAGCUCAUCUUAAAACUGAGUGAGGUGGGAAAUGCCCAGUAUUAAAAUUCACUGUUGUUUUUUGGGAAACCCUGCUGCUUGAUUGGCAGGGAUUGGUGAGACUGAAAAAUAAGGGUGGAGACAGAGGGAUAAUAACUCAGCUUGCCCAGAGUGAUACUGUAUACUGUAGGUUUUCCCUUCCAGCUCACCAGAGUGUACACACACAGACCCACUCCCCAUGCCCUCUUACUCACAGAAAAUAUAAGAACAGUCCAUCUACUGGAUACAUGCUGCAUAUUCCUGUGCACAGCAGGACUUGAUUAUUUUCCCUCAGAGUUGAUGGAUAAAACGUCUCUCUCCUUCUAAUAAGUUUCACUGCAAAAUGAGGUUCAUAUCACUAAAAAACACUAUAGCUACAUUUAGACUCAAGCAUUUAAGAUCUAAUUAAUUUCAAUUAAAAUAUUGGACACUAUUUUAAAAAAAGGGUUUACAACUACUGUGGUCAUAUUGAUAGAAAUACAAACUGCAGAGAUGUGUAUAGUUAUGUUUUAUUUCCUAUGCAAAUGUGUAAAUGUGUUUUUCUUUUCAUUUUGACUUGUCAA